UUGACAGCCUUGGAAAGUAAGGUCCCCUAGCCAGAGAACAGUUACAGCACAAUUGGUAGCACUGCAAGCGCGAAUGCACACACACACGCGCGCGCGCACACACACACCCAACCCCACCUCAGCUCUGACCUGGGGGAGAUCACAUCUAUGGACAGCAGGGUAGUUCAGUCUCCAGGGCCCAUUCAGAACCUUAGCUGCA
rnacentral:sRNA from 1 species